rnacentral:rRNA from 1 species
UACGGAGGGUGCAAGCGUUAUCCGGAUUUACUGGGUUUAAAGGGUGUGUAGGCGGCCAACUAAGUCCGACGUGAAAUCCCAAAGCUUAACUUUGGAACUGCGUCGGAUACUGGAUGGCUUGAAUUCGGGAGAGGGAUGCAGAAUUCCAGGUGUAGCGGUGAGAUGCGUAGAUAUCUGGAGGAAUACCGGUGGCGAAGGCGGCAUCCUGGACCGACAUUGACGCUGAGGAGCGAAAGCUAGGGGAGCAAACGGG